GGAGAGGUGGCCGAGUUGGCCUAAGGCGCUCGCCUGCUAAGCGAGUGUAGGGGCAAAACCUCUACCGCGGGUUCGAAUCCCGCCCUCUCCG
rfam:Desulfurella amilsii strain TR1 HybridContig12, whole genome shotgun sequence.